CCCAGAUUAUCCAAAGAGAGAAGACAGAAUCAUUAUAAAUCCCAGUAGCAGUCUGCUGGCCAGCCAAGAUGAGACAAAGUUGCCUAAAAUAAGACUUUUUUGACUAUUCUAAAUUGACUCCUCUUGACCAGCACUGCUUCAUCCAAGCUGCUGACCUCCUCAUGGCCGACUUCAAAGUGCUCAGUAGUCAGGACAUCAUGUGGGCCCUGCACGAGCUCAAAGGACACUAUGCAAUCACCCGAAAGAAGGAACCUUUCCCUUUCUCAAUUUUUAGGCCUUUUCUGAUGCCAUUAAAAAAUGGCAGGAGCUAUCACCAGAAACCAGUGGAAAAAGGAAAAAGAGAAAAGAAAUGAACCAGUAUUCUUAAAUUGAUUUCAAGUUUGAACAAGGGGUUGGCAUCUGCACAUCCUUCCUGGGCAUCUCGUGGGCACUGCUCGAUUACCACCAGGCCUUGCACACCUGCCUCCCCUCCAAGCCCCUCCUGGGCCUGGGCUCCUCUGUGAUCUACGUCCUGUGGAACCUGCUGCUACUGUGGCCCCGAGUCCUAGCUGUGGCCCUGUUCUCAGCCCUCUUCCCCAGUAUGUAGCCCUGCAUUUCCUGGGCCUGUGGCUGGUACUGCUGCUCUGGGUUUGGCUUCAAGGCACAGACUUCAUGCUGGACCCCAGUUCCGAGUAUCCUCUAUUUCUCCUGGUUCAACGUGGCUGAGGGCCACACCCGAGGCCGGGCCACCAUCCACUUGGCUUUCCUCCUGAGUGACAGCAUUCUCCUGGUGGCCACCUGGGUGACUUACAGCUCCUGGCUGCCCAGCAGGAUUCCACUGCAGCUGUGGCUGCCUGUAGGAGGCGGAUGCUUCUUUCUGGGCCUGGCUCUGUGGCUUGUGUGCUACUGCUGGCUGCACC
ensembl:lncRNA RNF216P1 ring finger protein 216 pseudogene 1